CGCCUGCUUUCGGGGUAGGCUAGGAAUGCUAGUCGUGCGCUCUUUAGCCUGAAGAGAGCGCGGCACACAGCUCAGUAACACGUGGCUAACCUGCCCUCGGGACAGAGACAACCCCGGGAAACUGGGGCUAAUCCCUGAUAGGUGAAGAACUCUGGAAUGAGUCUCCGCCCAAAGGGCGCUUGCAUCAUGCUUGCAGGCGCCGCCCAAGGAUGGGGCCGCGACCGAUCAGGUUGUUGGUGAGGUAACGGCCCACCAAGCCUUUUACCGGUACGGGCCGUGAGAGCGGGAGCCCGGAGAUGGGCACUGAGACAAGGGCCCAGGCCCUACGGGGCGCAGCAGUCGCGCAAACUUUGCAAUACACGAAAGUGUGACAGGGCUAUCCCGAGUGCCGCCCGCUGAGGGUGGCUUUUGCCCAGUAUAGCAAGCUGGGAGAAUAAGGAGAGGGCAAGUCUGGUGUCAGCCGCCGCGGUAAUACCAGCUCUCCGAGUGGUGUGGAUGUUUAUUGGGCCUAAAGCAUCCGUAGCUCGCUGUUCAAGUCCCCUGUUAAACCCAGCGAAUUAAUCGUUGGAUUGCGGGGGAUACUGCUCGGCUAGGGGGCGAGAGAGGCCGACGGUAUUUUCGGGGUAGGGGUGAAAUCCUAUAAUCCCGGGAAGACCACCAGUGGCGAAGGCUGUCGGCUAGAACGCGCUCGACGGUGAGGGAUGAAAGCUGGGGGAGCGAACCGGAUUAGAUACCCGGGUAGUCCCAGCUGUAAACUAUGCAGGCUAGGUGUUUGGGCGGCCACGCGCCGCUCUAGUGCCGCAGGGAAGCUGUUAAGCCUGCCGCCUGGGAGUACGGACGCAAGUCUGAAACUUAAAG
rnacentral:rRNA from 1 species